rnacentral:rRNA from 1 species
GAUGAACGCUGGCGGCGUGCUUAAUACAUGCAAGUCGAGCGAAGCACUUUAACGGAAUUCUUCGGAAGGAAGGUAAAGUGACUGAGCGGCGACGGGUGAGUAACGCGUGGGUAACCUGCCUUAUACAGGGGGAUAACAGUUAGAAAUGGCUGCUAAUACCGCAUAAGCGCACAGGGCCGCAUGGCCCGGUGUGAAAAACUCCGGUGGUAUAAGAUGGACCCGCGUCUGAUUAGCUGGUUGGUGGGGUAACGGCCCACCAAGGCGACGAUCAGUAGCCGGACUGAGAGGUUGGCCGGCCACAUUGGGACUGAGACACGGCCCAG